GAUGAAAGACUGAAAAGGAGAGCUUACUCGCUUAAGCGCUAGAUACAAUUUAUGUUGUAUAAGACACUUUAUGGUGGUUCUGGAGUUGCGGAAGAGCAAAUUCAAUGAUGGCAGUUGCUGUAGUGGAGUGGUGAGAGCGGCACAUAUGCAUUCUAGGAGAAAAUUGUGAAAUGACAGAUUCCGGGUGUGAUACUGAGGGAAUGACUAACUAAUAGGAGGGGCGCUCCAGGCUGUUAGCUUUGAAAAAGCAGUUUGCACAUUACUUUAUCUUGUCAAUCAGAUUCCUGGAAUGGAAGAGGCCCAAGCCAGAAUAUCCCGAGUAAAGCGCCACCUCUGGCACCCAGAUCACCACGCCACUCGCUUUGCAUAUAUUUAUAUCCAAUGAAAGACUUUUUUUUCUAAUCCUGUUGGAACAAGGAAUGACUGCCAAAUGUGAUUUUUAAAUGUACUUUUAAGCUGUUCCUGUUUUUUUUUCCCUUAACCACUGAACUGAAACAUGGAGAGGUGUUUACUGCUACGACGGGAUUUGAAAGUUACAGAUUAUUUCUUUUCAUAAGUCAAUAAAAGCCUUUACUUUAAAAAUAGU